rnacentral:rRNA from 1 species
UACGGAGGGUGCAAGCGUUAUCCGGAUUCACUGGGUUUAAAGGGUGCGUAGGUGGCGCCGUAAGUCAGGUGUGAAAUUUCGGAGCUUAACUCCGAAACUGCAUUUGAUACUGCGGUGCUUGAGGACUGGAGAGGAGACUGGAAUUCACGGUGUAGCAGUGAAAUGCGUAGAUAUCGUGAGGAAGACCAGUGGCGAAGGCGGGUCUCUGGACAGUUCCUGACGCUGAGGAGCGAAAGCGUGGGGAGCGAACAGG